rnacentral:rRNA from 1 species
GAGUUUGAUCAUGGCUCAGAUUGAACGCUGGCGGCAUGCCUUACACAUGCAAGUCGAACGGCAGCAUGAUCUAGCUUGCUAGAUUGAUGGCGAGUGGCGAACGGGUGAGUAAUACAUCGGAACGUGCCCUGUAGUGGGGAUAACUAGUCGAAAGAUUAGCUAAUACCGCAUACGACCUGAGGGUGAAAGGUGGGGGACCGCAAGGCCUCAUGCUAUAGGAGCGGCCGAUGUCUGAUUAGCUAGUUGGUGGGUAAAGGCCCACCAAGGCGACGAUCAGUAGCUGGUCUGAGAGGACGAUCAGCCACACUGGGACUGAGACACGGCCCAGACUCCGUACGGGAGGCAGCAGU